rnacentral:rRNA from 1 species
GUGGGGAAUAUUGGACAAUGGGCGAAAGCCUGAUCCAGCAAUGCCGCGUGUGUGAAGAAGGCCUUCGGGUUGUAAAGCACUUUUGUCCGGAAAGAAAUGGCCUGGGUUAAUACCCCGGGUCGAUGACGGUACCGGAAGAAUAAGCACCGGCUAACUACGUGCCAGCAGCCGCGGUAAUACGUAGGGUGCGAGCGUUAAUCGGAAUUACUGGGCGUAAAGCGUGCGCAGGCGGCGAUGCAAGACAGAUGUGAAAUCCCCGGGCUCAACCUGGGAACUGCAUUUGUGACUGCAGGGCUAGAGUGCGUCAGAGGGGGGUGGAAUUCCGCGUGUAGCAGUGAAAUGCGUAGAGAUGCGGAGGAACACCGAUGGCGAAGGCAGCCCCCUGGGAUGACACUGACGCUCAUGCACGAAAGCGUGGGGAGCAAACAGGAUUAGUAACCCGAGUAGUCC